rnacentral:rRNA from 1 species
AAAGAAGUAGGUAGCUUAACCUUCGGGAGGGCGCUUACCACUUUGUGAUUCAUGACUGGGGUGAAGUCGUAACAAGGUAACCGUAGGGGAACCUGCGGUUGGAUCACCUCCUUACCUGAAAGA